rnacentral:rRNA from 1 species
AUUGAACGCUGGCGGCAGGCCUAACACAUGCAAGUCGAGCGGAUGAAGGGAGCUUGCUCUUGGCUUCCGCGGCGGACGGGCGAGUAAUGCCCAGGAAUCUGCCUGGCAGUGGGGGAUAACGUCAGGUAACGGGCGCUAAUACCGUACACGUCCAGAGGGUGAACGUGAGGGUUCUUUGGACCUAACGCUAUUAGAUGUGCCUAGGGCGGAUUAGCUCGUUGGUGGGGUAAAGGCCUACCAAGGCGACGUUCCGUAACUGGUCUGCGUGGGUGAUCAGUCACACUGGAACUGGGACACGGUCCAGACUCCUACGGGAGGCAAGAGUGGGGAAUAUUUGACAAUGGGCGAAAGCCUGAACCAGCCAUGCCGCGUGUGUUAAGGAGGUCUUCGGAUUGUAAAACACUUUUAAUUGGGAAGAAGGGAAGUAAUUUGAUACCUUGCUGUUUUUACGUGACCAACAGAAUAAGCACCGGCUAACUUCGUG